CAGGCAAAUUCCAGGCUCCUUUGGAAGAAUGACAAUGUUACAGGAAAGCACAUGGAUUUGCAGCUUUGUGGACACCGCCUGAGAGGGUGACAGCUCUUUACUCUCAAUGGAGGAAAGUGAAGCCAGGCUUACUGAGAAAAAAACAACCCUCAGAAAUCAAAAUCAGACAGCUAUACCCAGUCUGGCUGCCCCGGAGCGGGAAGACCCGAACCUUGGCAGGGCUGGCUGCUGUGCUGACCAGUCUGAUAUCAUGAAGAGAAGUGAUUUUCCGAUCCUGCAUCCGGUACAGCUGUGCGGACUCUGCUCUUCCUGCCAUUCCACCAAGAAAUUAAAAAGCAAUUUUCUUUUGAA